CAAGCAGGCGCGUUGAACGGAUUAUGACGCUCAAGCGUUCCAAAUGACGCAACAAUACAGCUCCAGACCAGAGAAAGUUCAUGCGGAAGAUAUUCUUCAGUUCAACACUAAAACUGCGCGUUGACACGUGUGAUUUGAGGCUAGAGCUUGAGGACUCAACUCUGAAGACUGUUUCUGAAUUCACUGACCUG